UCCAGGUCACAAAGUAGGAAGUGAGAAGAUGCCAUCUGGAACAAGAUCCUACUGGCCCAUGACAGGAGAAGACCAUUCAUCAAACAAUAAGACUCUCAUUUACAGCCACUGGGGAGCUAUCCUGAAGUGUUGCUGGCACGGGUAACCAUCAUACUUGGCGCUUCUGUCUUGCUUGUCAUCCAACGAUUUCAAAGUGCUCUGCAGCAGGAUUUCAUCCUCACAGUGGGCCUGGGAGAAAGGUCAGCU